AACGAACGCUGGCGGCAUGCCUAACACAUGCAAGUCGAACGAGACCUUCGGGUCUAGUGGCGCACGGGUGCGUAACGCGUGGGAACCUGCCCUUAGGUUCGGAAUAACUCCCCGAAAGGGGUGCUAAUACCGGAUAAUGUCUUCGGACCAAAGAUUUAUCGCCUUUGGUUGGGCCCGCGUUGGAUUAGCUAGUUGGUAGGGUAAAAGCCUACCAAGGCGACGAUCCAUAGCUGGUCUGAGAGGAUGAUCAGCACACUGGGACUGAGACACGGCCCAGACUCCUACGGGAGGCAGCAGUGGGGAAUAUUGGACAAUGGGCGAAAGCCUGAUCCAGCAAUGCCGCGUGAGUGAUGAAGGCCUUAGGGUUGUAAAGCUCUUUUACCCGGGAUGAUAAUGACAGUACCGGGAGAAUAAGCUCCGGCUAACUCCGUG
rnacentral:rRNA from 1 species